rnacentral:rRNA from 1 species
GUCGAGCGGGCACANCAUACGAGGACAGCAGACGGGUGAGUUCGCGUGGGAAAGAUACCUUUUGGUUCGGAACAACACAGGGAAACUUGUGCUAAUACCUGACAAGCCCUUACGGGGAAAGAUUUAUCGCCGAAAGAUCGGCCCGCGUCUGAUUAGCUAGUUGGUGAGGUAAUGGCUCACCAAGGCGACGAUCAGUAGCUGGUCUGAGAGGAUGAUCAGCCACAUUGGGACUGAGACACGGCCCAAACUCCUACGGGAGGCAGCAGUGGG